UGGACAAGGCCCACCCCCACUGAGGAGGAGUCUGCUUUCCCGGGCCCUCUGAUUCGAGCGCUAAUCUCAUCCAGAAACACCCUCACAGUCAUGCCCAGAAGGCUGCCAGACCAAGUACGUGGGCACCGGCGGCCCAUCAAGCUGCCACCUAAAACCAGCCUUUGUGCCCAAACCACUCUAAUCUCAGCUCUGUGUUCACAUCACCUUCUCUUGUGUCUCAGUCUCCCUGCCCGCCCCUGCCACCUCCUCGCAGAAGGCCACUGUGAUGGCAUUUCAGGCCCACCCGGCAACCGAGGGUCACCUCCCCACAACAUCCAUAACUGAAUCACGUCGGCAUAGAGCCUGUUUCUAGACAAGGUGGCACUCAAGUUCCAGGGCCUGGGACGUGACUUCUUUGGGGGCCACUCUUCAGCAUGCUACAAGGGACCACAACACCAAUCCCGGAGCCUGGGUGGGCGGCUCCAAGUGGGACCCGGUCCAAGUUCACGAGGGAGCCCGGGCCGAUAUAUUUCUGUUCUUGGCACUGAGCCCUCUCCACAGCUGUGAACCUCUCACACACUACACGCCACCGGUCACGGGAAGAUGAACCAGCGCGCACUCGCCUGGGGGGGCAGAGCCCCAGCCAGGACGGUGACUCAGUUUCGCCCAGGCGACAAGACGGGGAAAGCCCACGUGGGAAGCUCACCAACCCCCUCCCCCCCACCAUGACCAGAUUCUCAGCCCCCGCACCCCAUGGAGGGCACUGAGGCUCAGCCAAGGGCAGGACGGUUGUUAAAAGGUCGUUGUAAAAAAAAAUGACAUGUGAAGAA